UUUACAAGACUAUAAAAUGUGUGCAGUUACUUCUCUGUUUGUAGGGGUAACUCUGGAAGCAGGGCACCAGGCACAGAUAAUCCCAAAUUGCUGUUAAAACUUGGUUCAGAAUGGAUUUGAUGUAAACUGUACUUAUGAUGAUUUGGGAACACAAUUACCCUUCUACAUCCUUCAUAGCACAGUACAAAAAUAGUAUAAGUAUAGUCAUUUUUAAGAUCAUUAAACAUGUUUAAAUUACUUGAUGAAAAAUGGCCACAAGGUUGAAGUAUUCUGCUAUAGUUUUCUGUUUCUUGUUUUUCAGCUAAGAAUAGAGUAGGAUUGCAAUUGGUCUGAAAUGUGCCCCAUCUACACACUCCUUCCUUUUCCCCUCCAGUGUCUUUUCUUACCUAAUGUUUCUACCAGACUUUCUAGUCUUGGGAUCCACAGCCCUUCCCUGUCCUUUGCUACUGCUUGAGUCCUGUUUCGCAUGUCAUGACUGUGUGAUUCCCAAAAACAGAUGCCUUUAGUUUACAUUAAUGUUUUCACUUAUUUGUAAUGAUUUUUUUCCCAUAAAUGCAUGAUUUUCUUUACUCCGGUUAAAUCAUUCCUGGAUAAGUGAGCGUUCACUAAAUUCUUUAGAAUUAUUUGCAUAAUUCAUG